UUUAGUGAUACCGGGAUACCCCAUCCAGAAGGACGUGGCAGGUACAGGGGACUCACCCAAUGCCACCCCACUGCCACCGACAGCAGAGACCACCGCUAUCUCCAUGCCUCAACCAUCCCUUUCUCCAACUUAGCAGUCCCUGCUCUCAAACUAGAGGAAGGAAGGAAAAGAAAUUCAGCCCGAUGCCUCUCUGGAGCAGGAUAGCGAGGAGAACGGGCAGCUGCGGCUGCGGGGAGCUCAGCAUCUCCCCCGGCCCGGGCUCUGCCCCCGCAUACCCCUGCACAGCCCCUCUCCCCUUCCCCGGGCUGGCAGGGCGGACGGCAGCUGGGAGGAAAAGCUGCUCUGCCACAGUGCGCUAGGUGCGAUUCCGCACGGGGACGAGGAAGGCAGGGAAAAGAACCUCGCGCGCACUUUCCCUUUCAAUGCUCCCAGUGUCGCCGCGGCGCUGGAAAAGCCUCUUCUCCCCGCCAGACCACGCCGGGAAAGGCGGGCAUGCUUAAUGACGAGCGCACUGGGCUGCAUCCCACGGCAUUGAGGGGUGUUCCCCGCUUUCCUAAUAAUCCUGCGUAAUAGGGGCUGUGAAAAUAGAGAUGAGUUCAAAUUUCCGCUUCCAGUCUCCUGCUGCAGCUCUCCUGGUAAGGACACAAUCCCACUGCCUCAGGAUGCCUGACAAGAGCCUACAGACGUGUUAAGGCAUGGAGGCAGUGACAGGCACUGGCCUCAGUGUUGUCUUCAUGGACAGACCACGGAAAACUGCUGGGCACAAAAGAAGGUCCUGAACCUGUGAGAGAACGAGAGUGAGAAGGUGAUGAAAGUUAUGCAUAGCUCCAUGAGAGACAGUCAGAUUUCACAGGUGGGGAGGAAAAAGAUACUGAUAUGAAAACUUGUGGAAGGGAAAAGGUAAGGAGACAGGCCAGAAGAAUAGGAGAUCAUGGCUUGUAAGUACUGUAGCCGAGGAGAAAUGGUUUGAAUACUCCUCAGUGGCCCCACAACACUUCACUAGAUCCACCAAAAGAAUUAAUCCAUCUGGCUGAAAAAUACCUAGCUGCCAGGAAUGUUCAUUGAACUGUUUGAAUUGCAGAGGGGAACAUAAAUUUAUCUUUCUUAAUAAUUUCCUUGUGCUUUCCUGUCUUUUAUGUAUGAUGAGUGGUUUGGGUUUUUUGUCACAUGAAGUAACUUCUUAAAAGAGGACAGGUUGUAUCCCAAAGGGAAUGUCCUUACGAAUACCCUGGAGGUACUCUGGAGACUCUCUGCAUGUCCUGUGUGAUACAGAAAGCCUAGAAGCUUGUGUUUCUAGUUCCCUAGCUCCCAAGACGGCAUCCUGCUCUGACUAUGGAGAUGUUUUGAUCAGGCAUGCUCCUCUUGUCUUAACCUAGCCAGAACUUCCAGGCUCAGAGCACCAGGGCAUGGGUUGAGAUGUGUAUGGCAAAGUUCCUCAGGAAGUUUGGAGCAUCAAAGACCCUUUCUCUAGGGAAAUAAUUUUUUUAAAAAAAAGAUGAUCUUGAAAAUAAGGCAGCUUUUUUUCUCUUGUCCUUCCUAUUCAUGGGAAGAGAUCUGAAUCACAAACUCCUUUUCUUUUUCACCUUACUCAUCAGUGUCCCAAAAAUUCAGCUCUUUUUCCCUACAACGAAAGAAUCACCUACAGUUUGUGGUUCUCUGCUGGUCUCUUUGUAUAUUACAAUAUAGAUUUGUAUAUAUAGCAAAAUUUUGAGAUACCUUCUCAGGAAAGUGAUCUGUAGUGGAAAAGGAAGAUAUUUUCCAUGUAGUGACAAUUUUAAAGGUAGACAGGGACAUGUUUGGGCUCUGGUGUUCAAGAACAAUCUCCCAACUGAAAUCAGUCAAGGGUUGUGCUUUCAAAUUAAUUGCAUGCUUCUAUCCUUAGCAUCUGGGCACGGAAUCAAAACUGAUGAGCCAACAAAGCAGCACUGAGCUGCUCCUGAGAGCAGUCACUAUCAGAGAGAAGUACUCUUUGAAAUUCAAAUCACAAAGGGCAUAAUUUAAAAGGGAACGCAGGAGGAGCAGAAAUACUAUGCACCAUACAUUAAUUGUCAUGCAAGUGACAAAAUCUUCAGUGUUGCUGUUACUUAGCAUCAUAAAAUUUAUUCCCAGAUUAUCAAUCCCAUACCAGGGAUGAAGUAAUUAAACUGGCAGCCCAUUUCCUCCGAACUGUAGCUGGUGUAAAUCAGAACUGCUACACUGCAGUGACUUGGUUUUACAACCAGUUGGGAAACACAGCCAUUUAUUCUACAAAGGGAGAGCUGAAAAAGAGCUCGAACUCUUCAUCACUUCAUGUUGUCCCUUCUGCCCCAGAGAGAGGGUAAGUAAGCAGGGCUAAAGUCACUUGCUCACCUGGAACCGCUCCCAGAUCAUACUGCAAACAAUCUGGAAAUGGCUCUCAGCAGAUUUAACAAAUUAAAUUCAGAAGGUUAAAUAUUUAAUAAUAUGCUAGUGGUUUCUUCCAAAUGGGUGCACCCUGUAUUGCUAUUCCUUUUAUACCCAAAUCUACCAGAAAUACUCACAGCUCUGAUAUGGCAGAAAUGCUCUAUUAUGUGGGCAGGAAAAAAGCAGAUUUAGAGUUCGUCACCUUGCCCUCCCCUUUCAAGCCCUCUAGCUUUCUGCCUGCUUUCAUGGCCACAUUUGGAGACAUUCCUUCAGUCUGACCCAAAUUUUUAACCUCCUGUGCCAGAGGUACCAGACAUACAUCAUCUUAUUGUAUGGUUGCACAAAAUGUGUACAUGUUCAACAGCUACCUCUUUCAGGUGGAUUUUUUUUGGCUUUUUUUUUUUUCUCCAUUUCUUAGGUAGAAUUUUAUACUCUUCUUUAAUCAAGGCUGAGUUUUGCAGAUACCAUCUGGCCCUGAACUUCUCCACUAAAAUUGCUUUUCAGCAGAAAUUCUUUGAGGUUUUGGGGGGUUUUCUGGUUUUGUUCUCUCUUUCUUUUCAACAGGUGUUUGUUCGUUCUCACUGAGAACUUUGGCAGCUUCCAAAAUUUAACCUUUCUCCACAAUAUUUAGAAAUUGCAAUUCCUCACUUUUUCAUUUAUGGAAAACUGCAGUGUUUAAGACCGUGUUUUGUUCUGGGACAUAUUGUUGGAAGAAAUACUGCAAGUUUUGAUUAAGAACCCCUCCGUAUUUCACAGCUCUUUCCACAUUCCACAAAGGGCUAGCCAACUAAAGAUACUUGGAUGAAUAACCCAAUACUUUUGAAGUCCAAAUAUCUGUAUUUUUGGUGCUAGAUCAUUGCCAAUCUUUUUCUUUUGUCUUCUACUGACAAAAUACCACUAUGCUACACCAAUUUUUGUGGAUGUCUUGGAAAUUUUUCUUUGCUUGAUUAAUGCAGAUUCUCUUUCAUGAUAACUUGUCUCCAUUUUAAACGCCUCUUACCUUCAAGUAAUUUGUCUGCCAGCUUUAUCCACCUCUUGUAAUCUACCUGUUCUAUAAAUUACUGGAAUCACUGGGACUGGAACUCUCUCUUACAUUUCUGUGUAACACUUACAAGGGAGGAAGAGAGAAUCUAAGCUUUGGGAUUUACAGCUGUCACUGCUUCAUAAUUAAUGAAUGACAAUAAUAUUGAAAAAGAGGCUUUUCCCUCUUUUCUCAGUCCAAAAAUUUCAUUUUCUCCGGGGAACUAGAGAGCAGGGUCCCAUAGGGGAAUUGUCUACUGAUCACCAAGAGGAAAACUUACAGAAAAUUUAUGCUGAGCACAUAAAAUCUGGAAAUCAGUCCAGGCUGCUCAAGAUAGUUGACAAGGCAGAGCUACUGAACCCAAAUUGCUAUGUCCAGCACAGUUCUAACCUCAGAGGUUGUCAGUCAAAGCUUUGUGUGAUACUCCUGUCCCCUCAAACUAUUGGAAUUUCCAGCUACAACAUGCCUACAGAGAAGGCAAGGAAGGAGAUGUUUGCAUAUCAUGUAAAACAGCUUCAGCUGGGGUGAUUUGGAAUGGCUGAUGUGAUUAGACUGAUAUUCUUUAGGUAAAACCCUAAGGAUCCUCUGGCCCAUGACCCUCUCCUAACUCUACUUUUUGAAAAGUGUAAAACAUAUGAACAGUUCCUUUACACUUAACAAAAACAGAAGUGUGCCUAUAAUCUCAGUUUUUCAUAUGCCAGAAGACUUGCAUGCGGACUGCAGAGGCUGUGAUUUCAGGUAGUUUAGUAAGGGUUUAUGUUUGGUCCAUCUUUCUUCUCUGUCUGGACACAUAUUCUCUCAUUAUCAUUGCUUCCUAUGCGGACAAAGCUAAGGAAUUUUCUGGGAUGCACUGAAACCCUAAUGUCUCACUUUUAGGGUGAGUUAAACCAUUUGGAUGAGAAAGUAUUCAAGCAUCUUGGAAAAAUCCUGAGGAGAUUGUUGGCUUUGAACAAAUCUGAACCUUUAAGGAAAAUGUUCACUGCAAAGCAAAUUUAAAGAAUGCUGAGGUGCUCUGAUGGAAUGCACAUCUUGGCCUUUCUCAUCCCACCACUGCUUUGCUGCUAGACAAUGUUAUGCCUUGGCUUUUUCAAACACCUGUUUUCCAUGUGUCUCAAGUAUUGCCUGGAGUCUUCUCCUAAAAUCACUCCCUAACACACCUGUCCUGGGUAGGACACAAUACUUCUCUCAUUAAAGGAUCAUGAGUUUCUCCAAUUCCCUUGGACUUGGGGGUCUGCAGUUUGCCCCACAAUGACCCUUGAGCAGUUUUACUCCCAAUGUAGUAGCUGGGGAAGACUACUGUGUUCAUCUCCAGCCUAAUCCAGUUGGUCCUCCAGCAUUUCAGUGUUAAAGCAAACUUCACCAAGGGGGGUAAGUUAAUUUUCAACUGUAUGUUUCAGUAUUUCCAGCUCUUGGUUGAAGUCAGAAUUUCAAAGAAUCAUAGAAUCACGGAGCAGCUGGUCUCUGAAGGGACCCAUAAAGGCCAUCUAGCCCAGCCUCCUGCAGUAAACAGAGACAUCUUCCACCAGACCAAUUUGCUCAGAGCCCCAUGCAACCUGACCUCGAAAGUGUUCAGGGAUGGGCAUUUACCACCUCUCUGAGGAACCUGUUUCAGUGGUUCAACACCCUCACUGUAAAAAAUUUCUCCCUUAUACCUAAUCAGAACCUCUCUUCUUCCAGGGCAGAUUUCUUCAGAGCUUUGUAUUUCCCAAGGGAGAGUAAAAAUCACCUCAGUGACAGCACUGUGACUCCACACACAGUGAUGUGUGUGGAGAGGCUUUGGAGAAGCCUCACGUCCAGCUGAGAUGCUGCCAAUGGAGAUCAGAGGUAAAGACAUUACUCCAGGAAUUUAUUUGGCCCCGAGCAGACUGUAGGAUGCUGGCACCAACCCACCCCAGGCUGGGAGAUGGUUUCCACUGGGACACUGAGAACCGUAGCUCCCAGUUGAUCCUAUAUUUGGGCCCAGCAAGAAAUGCAGGGCCUCAGAGAAGCAGCAGCUAGAGCUCUGUAAAACCACAGUCACGGCAGCUUGCCAGAGGCACAGACUUGUCCUCACUGCUGGGCAAAGUUGAACUGGAAGCUGAUUUGUUCCCUGGAGUCAGGACAGGGCUGGCCGAGAAUGGGAGGCUGUGCCAGCGCAGUUGCUUUCUCUUCCUUGCCCUUCCCACAGGUCCUGUGUCUGUCCCAGGAUGGAUGCUAAGCAGGGACAAGUGGAAACACUCAGCCAAGUGCUAAGUAUUUUAUGCUGUUGCCUGAUUGAUUUUAAACUGUGCUUACUUGGCAAUACCCCUCAGGACCAGUUGUGUAAAAUUGGACGUGCUGUUCCUAAUGCAGCGCUGGGGCUUGUAAACCCCUCCUGUGCUUGCUGACAGCUGGAGAGCCUGCGUUUAAAACUGGAGCUGCAGCACUGCUUGGCUCACACUGCAAGCUCUGCCCUCCACCCCAGGGCCCAUGAUGGGAUUGCAAUAUCACUGUGAGACACUGCAGUGCACAGUGGCCAUGGCUCAGCUGCUCAGUUCCUGUCCUUCCCCCCAAGGCUGGCUCAAUAAGGGACAUCUGUGCGUCCAUACUUGUGUUUGCAGCCCCUCAGUGUCUUCUUGGGUGUUUCCCCACUUCAGAGAGCUGGUGCUCACUUGGUUUUCAAGUGGCAGGUACUCCACUCCGCUAGGACUGGGUGAGAAAAAGCAUUGCAGGAAUCUUUUUGGGAUUGCAGAGACCUGCUGUUGCAGGAAUCUUCAAAAUGACCUUCACAUGUGUUCACAUGAGGAGUGUUUCAAGCCUGUUUGUACUCAAAAUUAUGUUCAGUUGGGGAAAAAAGGAUGGAGAAAAAACCUCCAAAGAUCCCUUGUCAAUACCACACAACUUCAUUGUUUUAAUUUUUGCCUAAUUAUCUACAAUAACAGAGGGAGACAAACUACACAACCCUGGUGAGAUCAGAUUCAUCUCAGAAAAGAGGAAGCAUAGCAUAGCAAACAUAGCCGAGUUGCAAAAACAGCAGCUUUGAUGUGUGAGAUGGGAAAAGCUUAUUUUUUGGGUGAAGACAAUGUACUUUUUACUGCACUUUUUCACAGCCCAUUCAAAAGAUGAAGGGCCAACCAUUACAGCCAGCAGCAUGGGCCAGCAUCUCAUCUGCAAUGGAUGACAGAGUUUGUCAGUCAGUCCUUGGGGUACAGCUGCUUGCUCUUCCCAGCAUUCUGCCAGAAGUGCCCUGGCCAGACAGAGAUGUGUUGGCAGCCUCAGACCUUUGCACAGCUGCAAGGAGGAAACAAGAAACAAGAGCUUUCCCAGCGCCUGCAGCAGCCUACAGCACCCUCUGUGCAUUUCUUUUAGGGUUCUAGUCACAGUCUCAUCAGAGCUAUGGAGAAACCUGGAGCUGCUGCAGGCAGUGGAAGUUUUGCUCUUGACCUGCCCAUCUGCCUUUGGUCUGCUUGCACCCUGGGAAGAAGUACUCCAAAGAACAACUGUUUCCUGCUGGUGUCGUGAUAUGCCAUUAAUUUGUGCCAUGCUGGAGUUUGAAGCUCCCUGGCACGCUGUAAAUUUGUAAUUGGCUGUUUUCUCUAAAGGGGAACCUGACUGGGCAGCUGCAAUCUGAUGGCACUACCUAAAGGGAGUCAAGGAAGGGCCAACUUCUUCCCUUGGUGAGAGGGAAACUGUUUAGAGGAUGAUGAGGAGCAUGGGGAGGUUUCUUAAACUUUUCUCAACAGCUCAUUUCAGUAAUUGAGACUGAAAUGCUUAAGCAGACCAUCAGUCUCAGCUCUGCAUGCCACCAAAUUACUGGCAAAAGGGAAGAAGGUGGACUAGGAAUAAUAAAUCUGCCCUAAUCAUCACAUUAAAGGUUGUCUUCAUGGGACUGCUGUUAUAAAUCUGGUUAUAAGAAAAAAACUAAAUAAGGAGCAUUGAGGGGAGUCCUAUCCAUGUCAGGAAGUAUUUUCUCAGUUGUCUCAGUAUGCAAAGAAAGGCUGGGCUAAACGUAUCUGUCAAAACAUUUCAGUAGGAAGAAAAGUUUUUUUUUUUUUUUUACAAGGUGAACAUUUUCCCACCCCAUUUGUGUUCCUCUUUUAUUUUUACUUCAUAUGCUGUAUUUAGCAAUAAAGAUUUUCAGUCAAUUUAUUUCCAAAUUGGUUCUUUCUAAUAUUUGCUCUUUGGGGCACUCAGCCUUUCAGCUCUCUUGGUCCCCAGCUCAUGGCUGAGGGUCAAGGGGUAGCAGAAUCUUCAACACUUCUCUGGGAGGUGAUUAACCCCAUGCUUAAAAGCAAGAGGGACCCCAGCAGAAAAAGAAUUGAUAUUUAAACAUCUGCGUUGUACUGACUGGAUGGUUGGGUGAUGGCUUUUGCUUCCCAGGCGCCACAUCAGAGCUCUGACCGUGGACAUCUCUGUGUGGCAGUCCAGUGAACAGAACCCAGGAUGUCUGUUUGGGCCCUGCAGGCAUGGGGACAGGAACUGCUGCCAGCCCAAAACCUGCUCUGAAUUAUCUUCCAGGUGCACCAAGGUGGAUUUGGUUUGUGCCCCUCAGUACUAACCUAGGAAGGUUCUUCCAGCUCUUUUCCAAGUCCUGAUCCUCCUACCCUCUGGAGUGACUUGGAGGAGAAAUGAGGGAAAGCUAUUAGCUUUGUAAAUCUGUUCUCUUCACAUUCAAUUUUUUUUAGACAUACACUGUUGGAUUUUUGUGUUAAGGGGGUUUGAAAAGCAAUUCACAUGAAAGAAUCUGGAAUAAAAACAUCUCCAAAGAAUGCAUUUUGUGCGAUUUCCACUAAGACAGCAGGGUUUGUGCUUAGCUGCAGGAGCUGCUGGCAUUGCCUCCAGCAGCAUCUGCCCCAGGCAGGUGCCUGGAGCAAGAGCUGCUGACUGACAGGAGCGGCCAGGAGAGAUGAGGAGGGUGCUGUGAGCUGCUGGGUGGGGCUGAGAGUCACCUCACAGAGGGGUCAAACAGACAGAUACUCAAAUUUGAUUAAUAUUCUAUUUGGUUAGUAUUAGUUAAUUAUAGAUUAGCUAUUUCCAUUGAGUAUGAAGAGGCAACUUGCUUUUAAUUUUUUUUU